rnacentral:rRNA from 1 species
GGAUGACACUGUCACUCCCUACUGAAGCCUUACGUGGCGACUCUAAACAACCACGGAGUCUUGCCUUCUGGGCAGGACAACACCGCUGAAUUGCUGCAAUCAACUGUCGUUGUACCAGCAGCCCCCUCUCCCCGGGGGCCCACAGAUCAAGCCGCGGUGGUUUUGGCCUCGAAUUACGAGGUGAAACUGUAAUAUGACCGGUCUCCGCCUGUGACGGCUGAGAAUUAACGUUCCGUAGGUGAACCUGCGGAAGGAUCAUUACCGAGUUAGGGUCUCUCAGGCCCGACCUCCAACCCUGUGUUUAUUCUACCCUGUUGCUUUGGCGGGCCCGCCUUAUAGGGGCCGUCGGGGGUUAUCUGACCCCUGAUCAGUGCCCGCCAGUAGCCUUCUUCAAAACUCUUGUAUAACUGUGUUGUCCGAGUCCUAAUUAAAAUCGUUAAAACUUUCAACAACGGAUCUCUUGGUUCUGGCAUCGAUGAAGAACGCAGCGAAAUGCGAUAAGUAAUGCGAAUUGCAGAAUUCAGUGAGUCAUCGAAUCUUUGAACGCAUAUUGCGCCCUUUGGCAUUCCGAAGGGCAUGCCUGUUCGAGCGUCAUUAUCAACCAUCAAGCACGGCUUGUCGUUGGACUCUUGUCGCUGUAACACGCGACAGGUCUGAAAGACAAUGACGGGUGUCGUGUUGGACCCUCGAUGCAACGAGCUCUUCGUAGCACGCAUUGAACGUGGUCUGCCGCCCCGGUCUACACAUAUUUUUUUCUGGUUGACCUCGGAUCAGGUAGGAAUACCCGCUGAACUUAAGCAUAUCAAUAAGCGGAGGA